GGUUGAAUAGCUUAUAUAAAGUGGGGUUUUGAAGAAACUCAGAAAUUUACAGUAA
rnacentral:tRNA from 1 species